CACUAUGCUCAGCCCUAAAAUUCGAUAGGUCACUACGCCCCCUAUCCGCCCGGGUACUACGAGCAUCAGCUUGAAACCCAAAGGACUUGGCGGUGCUUCACAUCCGUCUAGAGGAGCCUGUCCUGUAACCGAUAACCCCCGUUAAACCUCACCCUCCCUUGUUAAUCCCGCCUAUAUACCGCCGUCGUCAGCCUACCCUGUGAAGGACUAGUAGUGAGCAAGAUUGGUAAAACCCAAAACGUCAGGUCGAGGUGUAGUAAAUGAGAGGGGAAGAGAUGGGCUACAUUUCCUGCAUCAGGAAAUACGAACAAUGAACUGAAAUAAGCAUUAGAAGGUGGAUUUAGCAGUAAGCAGAUAAACAGAGUGUUCUGCUGAAGUUAAUGGCAAUAAAGCACGUACAUAUCGCCCGUCACUCUCCCCGAGCCUAACGUAUUUUAAUAUACCUAAAAAACCACACCUGCAAAGGGGAGGCAAGUCGUAA
rnacentral:rRNA from 1 species